rnacentral:ribozyme from 1 species
CACACACACACACACACACAUAAACACGGUGAGGAAAGUAAAGAGGAAGAGAGAGAACACGUACAUAAGGAAAAUGAUUUUUGUUUUUUCUUCCCCUCUUUU